rnacentral:rRNA from 1 species
AGAGCGAACGCUGGCGGCAGGCCUAACACAUGCAAGUCGAGCGCCCGUAGCAAUACGGGAGCGGCAGACGGGAGAGUAACACGUGGGAACGUACCCUUCAGUUCGGAAUAACCCAGGGAAACUUGGACUAAUACCGAAUACGUCCGUAAGGAGAAAGAUUUAUCGCUGAAGGAUCGGCCCGCGUCUGAUUAGCUUGUUGGUGAGGUAACGGCUCACCAAGGCGACGAUCAGUAGCUGGUCUGAGAGGAUGAUCAGCCUCACUGGGACUGAGACACGGCCCAGACUCCUACGGGAGGCAGCAGUGGGGAAUAUUGGACAAUGGGCGCAAGCCUGAUCCAGCCAUGCCGCGUGGAUGAUGAAGGCCCUAGGGUUGUAAAGUCCUUUCGACGGGGAAGAUAAUGACGGUACCCGUAGAAGAAGCCCCGGCUAACUUCGUGCCAGCAGCCGC